rnacentral:rRNA from 13 species
AUGGUGGAUGCCUUGGCAUGCUGAGCCGAUGAAGGACGUGAAAGGCUGCGUUAAGCCUCGGGGAGUUGUCAAUUAAGCGUUGAUCCGAGGAUGUCCGAAUGGGGAAACCUGGCCCUGGUUAUGUGGGGUUACCCUUCAGUGAAUUCAUAGCUGUUGUGGGGGUUUACGCGGGGAAGUGAAACAUCUCAGUACCCGUAGGAGGAGAAAAUAAUAAUGAUUCUGCUAGUAGUGGCGAACGAACGUGGAUGAGGCUAAACCGUGUGCAUGUGAUACCUGGUAGGGGUUGUGUGUGC